GACUCAGUGAAAUUGAACUCGCUGUGAAGAUGCAGUGUACCCGCGGCAAGACGGAAAGACCCCGUGAACCUUUACUAUAGCUUGACACUGAACAUUGAGCCUUGAUGUGUAGGAUAGGUGGGAGGCUUAGAAGUGUGGACGCCAGUCUGCAUGGAGCCGACCUUGAAAUACCACCCUUUAAUGUUUGAUGUUCUAACGUUGACCCGUAAUCCGGGUUGCGGACAGUGUCUGGUGGGUAGUUUGACUGGGGCGGUCUCCUCCUAAAGAGUAACGGAGGAGCACGAAGGUUGGCUAAUCCUGGUCGGACAUCAGGAGGUUAGUGCAAUGGCAUAAGCCAGCUUGACUGCGAGCGUGACGGCGCGAGCAGGUGCGAAAGCAGGUCAUAGUGAUCCGGUGGUUCUGAAUGGAAGGGCCAUCGCUCAACGGAUAAAAGGUACUCCGGGGAUAACAGGCUGAUACCGCCCAAGAGUUCAUAUCGACGGCGGUGUUUGGCACCUCGAUGUCGGCUCAUCACAUCCUGGGGCUGAAGUAGGUCCCAAGGGUAUGGCUGUUCGCCAUUUAAAGUGGUACGCGAGCUGGGUUUAGAACGUCGUGAGACAGUUCGGUCCCUAUCUGCCGUGGGCGCUGGAGAACUGAGGGGGGCUGCUCCUAGUACGAGAGGACCGGAGUGGACGCAUCACUGGUGUUCGGGUUGUCAUGCCAAUGGCACUGCCCGGUAGCUAAAUGCGGAAGAGAUAAGUGCUGAAAGCAUCUAAGCACGAAACUUGCC
rnacentral:rRNA from 1 species